UACGUAGGGAGCAAGCGUUGUCCGGAAUCAUUGGGCGUAAAGAGCGCGUAGGUGGCUUUAUAAGUCCGUUGUGAAAGUCAAAGGCUCAACCUUUGAAAGCCGAUGGAUACUGUGAAGCUAGAGUACGGAAGAGGCGAGUGGAAUUCCUGGUGUAGCGGUGGAAUGCGCAGAUAUCAGGAGGAACACCAAUAGCGAAGGCAGCUCGCUGGGACGCUACUGACACUGAGGCGCGAAAGCGUGGGGAGCGAACAGG
rnacentral:rRNA from 1 species